UACGAGGGGGCAAAUGUUGUUCGGAAUCACUGGGCGUAAAGGGAGCGUAGGCGGGUUUCUAAGUCAGGUGUUUAAUCCCGGGGCCCAACCCCGGACAGGCACUUGAAACUGGGAAUCUUGAAUAGUGGAGAGGUCAGUGGAAUUGGGGGUGUAGCGGUGGAAUGCGUAGAGAUCCCCAAGAACACCAGUUGCGAAGGCGGCUGACUGGACACAUAUUGACGCUGAGGCUCGAAAGCAUGGGGAGCAAACAGGG
rnacentral:rRNA from 1 species